CUGGCUCAGGAUGAACGCUAGCUACAGGCUUAACACAUGCAAGUCGAGGGGCAGCAUAUCGAAAGCUUGCUUUGAUGAUGGCGACCGGCGCACGGGUGAGUAACGCGUAUCCAACCUUCCCUAUACUAGAGGAUAGCCCGGCGAAAGUCGGAUUAAUACUCUAUGUUCUUCGUAGAAGACAUCUGAAAUGAAGCAAAGGUUUACCGGUAUAGGAUGGGGAUGCGUCUGAUUAGGUUGUUGGCGGGGUAACGGCCCACCAAGCCCACGAUCAGUAGGGUUCUGAGAGGAAGGUCCCCCACAUUGGAACUGAGACACGGUCCAAACUCCUACGGGAGGCAGCAGUGAGGAAUAUUGGUCAAUGGACGAGAGUCUGAACCAGCCAAGUAGCGUGCAGGAUGACGGCCCUAUGGGUUGUAAACUGCUUUUAUACAGGGAUAAAGUGACGUACGUGUACGUUUUUGUAGGUACUGUAUGAAUAAGGACCGGCUAAUUCCGUGCCAGCAGCGGC
rnacentral:rRNA from 1 species